CGAGCAGAGGUCAGCCGAGUGCCCGAGGGGAGACGGGGGGAAGGCCCGGGAGUGACCAGCGGGACACCGAAGGCGCGAGGCCCGAAAGGGCAUCAAGCAAGGGAGGCGGCUGGCGAGGGAAGCGCAGAGCCAGGGCCAGACCCGUAGGGCAGUACGCGACGCAAAACAACAGACCCGGGCCGGGACGAGAACCCGGGGGCCGCCAGCCCCUCCGGAAGCCCCGCCCCAUGCCCCGGUUCCCGGAAGCCAGGGGCCGUGAGGGGCGGGGCCUGAGCCACGCCCACAGCCCCGGUUCCCGGAAGUCGCCGUCCGGCGAAGGGAGGGGUGGGGCCUGGAAUCCCCACCCCGCGACUGCGCGGGGCACGCCGGGAUGGGCGCUGCCAUGGCGACACAGCGGCCACCCCGCCCCUCCCCGCGCCCUGGCCUCCGGAGNNNNNNNNNNNNNNNNNNNNNNNNNNNNNNNNNNNNNNNNNNNNNNNNNNNNNNNNNNNNNNNNNNNNNNNNNNNNNNNNNNNNNNNNNNNNNNNNNNNCACCCCGCCCCUCCCCGCGCCCUGGCCUCUGGAGUCGCGGUCUCGGCCCUGGCUGGGCUCGUCCGGCCCGAUGCGCCGAGGCCCCAGCGUGGCCGCUUUGAGGGCGCCGCUGGGAGCGAGGGGAAGCCAGGAAGCGCGGGCCUUUGCCCUCCCGAGGUCGGGGAGAAGAGGAAAUGGCCCCCGAGGCGGUGACCAAGACCCACACGAUCCAUCCACCUCUACCUGGCUGGGGAAGAAACAGGCAGCAAACUCUCAGUUUCAGCCCACGUCACAGCAGGACUGGAGCGGUCACAGCGACCUCUUCCCACAAAGUCCUUCAGCGGGAGGAAUAACGACUUGAGUCUCCACACAGCAGGCUCCUGGGGCCGGGGACUGCGCCCAUGCGAAGGUCACAGGUGAGGGCUUGGAACCCGCAGUCCAGACCCAAGAGUCUGAGGAAUCAGCCCAGGCCCUGCUGCACAGGCCUCCUGGUCCAAAGUGGCAGAGUGGGUGACCUCCUUGUGUUUAGGAAGCUGUCAGGACGCCUGGCUUUUGGAAAGGUCACACUCAGCCCACUCUGGAUCACCCGCAGACACACAAUCCUGGAACCAAGGCUUCUGACUGUGAGGGGCUCCCCCAAACCACAAUGUCUGUGUCCACUCCCUCCGGGUCACCCAAAAGGCCACUGCUCCUAAAGACUCGCUCCUGGAUGCUCCUGUUGGGGGGCGGGGUGGGAAACUAAAAGAUUCCUUUCCAGUUUCCAGAUGCGAAGCCACGUCCCAGGGAAGCCUCUGGAAACGCAGCCGUGUGGUCAGUCGGGAGGGGCCUCCACUGAGUCUGCAGCGAGGGCCGCUCCCACCCAGGGUGGGCCUGACCCCAGGCAGAGUCGGUCUGCAUGGAGAAUCUGGUGCGGGCAGAGAAGCAGAGCCCCCAGCCCGAGGCUCCCAGGGCGCUGGCGCCUCCACAUCAGAGCUCGCCUAACUCACCCCGCCUCCCUUCCCAGGGCAGCAGACAACUAAAAAAAGAUAAAAUAAAAAGAAGUAAUUCCCCUGCUUUGACGUCAGCUCGAGGUCUUAACAGCCCAGCAGCGGCAUGAAACUGGAUUGCAACCAGAUGUAAUGCCCUUGAAUCCUCCACACGCCACUGCGUUGGAAGACAAAUGGCAGGGGGGAGAGCGGGUGGAAGGAACCGUGCGGGUCCCGCGUGGGUCCCGGAUCAGAGCCUGCGGAAACCCUGGGAAGCCCAGGCCCGGGUCGCCAUUCAGGCGUGCUGCCUCCCCUCCCCCAGCCCCCCAGAAGCGCAUUGUUACUCCGGAUAGAGUCUUCAUUCAGGGCCAGAGCCCCAGCGCCACCCCCGUCGGGGGCUCCCCGGAUCAGGGCACGACUCGGGCCGCGCUCCGGCCCCGGGCGUGGAUUUGAGGACGACCCAGAGCCCAGGAGGGGAAAUCGCUCGCUGGGAAAACGGGCGCCCCAGGAAGCUGGGGCCGCCACGGCCUCGGGCCUGCGUGGUGUUUCGCUUCCCCUCCGCCCCUCCUGGGCGGCCCCCAGCAACCAAGGCUCCAAAGUCACCCCCGCGUCCUGCCACCCCCUCGCCCCCGCCGCGCUUGGCGACGCCGCCUUGAGCCCAGCCCUCGCGUCCUCCUCCGGGUCUCCUGUCUCCCAGGCGCCGGCCCAAGGACCUGGCCGGUCGUGCGCCGCCGUCCGUCAGGGGACUCGCGUGGCCGGAGCCCCCACCGUGACGUCACCCCGAAAGGCCCCUGCGCCCCGGGCCUGGCCGAGACGGAGCUCCCCGGCCUCCCGGGCUGCUUCCUGCCCGGUCGCGCGGCCUGCGCACAGGCCCGGGCGCCCCUGCCCGCGUCGGGGCACGGAUGGGGGCUCCCCAGAGGGCCUCACACGCCGCCCCUCCCCAUCACGGCCCUCGCUGCCCCGGCUCCCACGCCAGGGCCCCGAUAGGCCCAGAGUCCCCCAGAGAAGUCGGCUCCCCGCCCCCCACCCGGACGCCC
ensembl:lncRNA